GCGUGAGUGAUGAAGGCCUUAGGGUUGUAAAGCUCUUUUAGUGGGGAAGAUAAUGACUGUACCCACAGAAAAAGCUCCGGCUAACUUCGUGCCAGCAGCCGCGGUAAUACGAAGGGGGCUAGCGUUGUUCGGAAUCACUGGGCGUAAAGCGGGUGUAGGUGGGUAUCUAAGUUAGAGGUGAAAGCCUAGGGCUCAACCCUAGAAUUGCCUUUAAUACUGGAUAUCUAGAGUCUGGAAGGGGGAAGUGGAAUUCCGAGUGUAGAGGUGAAAUUCGU
rnacentral:rRNA from 1 species